GAAGAAAGACCGUCUGGGAGCAAACUCGACUGUUAGGCGCAGAAUUUCCCAAUCGGGCGCCAUUUUGCACCAACGAAUUGCAAAAUGACGAGACCUCGUCUGGUGCCGAUCGUCGCUGGUUAUCUUCUUUUUGCAUUCUUCACCAUCUCUUCAGCUCAGGAUUCUCAUCUCGGAUCUGCUCGUGUUGUAUUCCAGACGAAUUAUGGCGAUAUCGAAUUUGGUUUCUUCCCCAAUGUAGCACCCAAAACCGUUGACCACAUUUUCAAGCUUGUUCGUCUUGGAGGCUAUAACACCAAUCACAUUUUUCGGGUUGAUAAAGGAUUUGUGGCGCAAGUGGCAGAUGUAAUGGGGGGAAGAUCAGCUCCCAUGAACGAGGAGCAAAGGGCGGAAGCUAAGAAGACUGUUGUUGGUGAAUUUAGUUCUGUCAAACACGUUAGAGGGAUUCUUUCUAUGGGGAGAUAUGAUGAUCCAGACAGUGCCCAAUCCUCCUUUUCUAUGCUACUUGGAGAUGCUCCUCACCUUGAUGGCAAAUAUGCAAUCUUUGGAAAAGUUACCAAAGGCGACGAUACAUUGAAAAAACUUGAAGAACUUCCUACUCGUCGUGAGGGUAUAUUUGUAAUGCCAACUGAGCGCAUAACAAUACUGUCAUCAUACUAUUACGAUGUCAAUUCUGAGCAUUGUGAAGAGGAGAGAUCAACUCUGAGGCGAAGGCUAGCUGCAUCUUUUAUCGAGAUUGAAAAACAGAGAAUGAAAUGCUUCCCCUAAAACGAGCAGGACAACGAAAACUCCGAUAGGAAAAACUGGAACACGAAUGCAAAUAGAAACGGAUUUCCCACCGUGUUUGGGCAUGUCUCUGUGAGUUUCAACCCUACAGGUUAAAUGGAUAUCUCGAGUUAAUCUUUUUUUGUCAAGUACUUGGACGAAGUGACCAAAAUACUAGUAAACGAAAACCUCGAGAUGAAAUUUUUGAAUUUGAAAAUUCAUGGAUUUAAUUGCUACCAAACCUAAAAUUCAGUAGCCAAAAGUGUAUUUUUUUUUCUUCCUAUUAUGGAUUAUAAAUAGACAUAUAUGUUCGAGUUGACCUAA